UACGGGGGGGGUAAGCGUUGUUCGGAAUUACUGGGCGUAAAGGGCUCGUAGGCGGCCAACUAAGUCAUACGUGAAAUCCCUCAGCUUAACUGGGGAACUGCGUGUGAUACUGGAUGGCUUGGAUUUGGGAGAGGGAUGCGGAAUUCCAGGUGUAGCGGUGAAAUGCGUAGAUAUUGGGAAGAACACCGGUGGCGAAGGCGGCUCUCUGGACCGAGACUGACGCUGAGGCGCGAAAGCGUGGGGAGCAAACAGG
rnacentral:rRNA from 1 species